rnacentral:lncRNA from 1 species
GGUAAUCGACAAUACUUGCAACACAAAAAUAGAGAGGAGAAGAAUAGAUGAGAAGAGAAGAUUCGACACAAAAAGAAGAAGAAAGAGGAAACAGGAUCUGGUAGAGAGGAUACAAAAACUAUUCGGCCACCCCAAUCAAAAAGAAAAAGAAAGAAAAGGUAGGAAAAAGGUAGAUGGACAAACCCGAGAAGUUUCCAAGGUACUUUUCAGAAAUCGGCACAAAGAAAACAAAAUAGAGAAAGAAAAAUUAAAUAAAACCGAAGCAAAUAGAGUAAAGAAAGACCCCCAAACCGAUUACCCUUCGUACUAAAGAGCAAAUUCGGCACAAAAUCCCUUCC